GCGCCAGUAGCUCAGUUGGAUAGAGCACAUGCCUUCUAAGCCUGCGGUCAGGGGUUCGAGUCCCUUCUGGCGCGCCA
rnacentral:tRNA from 2 species